UCAAAACCAUCGUUAGAUUGUGUACAAAUGGAGGAUAUUCAAAACCAUCGUUAGAUUGUGUACAAAUGGAGGAAAUUCAAAACCAUCGUUAGAUUGUGUACAAAUGGAGGAAAUUCAAAACAAUUGUUUCCCAACCCAGAAGUGGGCAACCUUCAAAAAUAACUCCACCUGUAAGGCGUAUAAUAGUCUGAGAGGUUAUAAAGGAACCAUGGGUAGCUUCUAAUCAACUGAAGGCCUGUCUCACAUUGGUGAAUGUUGAUGUUCAUGAGUCCACCAUCAGAACAAUACUGAACAGCAAUGGUUGAAUUCUCCUUUAAAGAAGAAUAAAGUGAAUGUUCUGGAAUGGCCAAGUCUAAGUCCCAAACCGUAAUCCAAUUGAAAUGUUUUGGAAAGACCUAAAGCAAGUGGUUCCUGUGAGGAAACCCAUCAAGACCUGAAGCUGUUCUGUAUGGAGGAAUAGGCUAAAAUUCCCCUGUGUAGAUGUACACGACUAAUCAACAGUUACCGCAAGGUUAAGUUGCAGUUAUUGCUGCACAAGGGGGUCACACCAAAUACUGAGCGAAAGUAAAUGCUGAUUCACUUUUGCUACACGCAGAUAUGUUAUUGGAUUAUUUUUUUCAAUAAAUACAUGACUAGA